rnacentral:rRNA from 1 species
GACGAACGCUGGCGGCGUGCUUAACACAUGCAAGUCGAACGGAAAGGUCUCUUCGGAGAUACUCGAGUGGCGAACGGGUGAGUAACACGUGGGUAAUCUGCCCUGCACAUCGGGAUAAGCCUGGGAAACUGGGUCUAAUACCGGAUAUGACCUCGGGACGCAUGUCCUGUGGUGGAAAGCUUUUGCGGUGUGGGAUGGGCCCGCGGCCUAUCAGCUUGUUGGUGGGGUGAUGGCCUACCAAGGCGACGACGGGUAGCCGGCCUGAGAGGGUGUCCGGCCACACUGGGACUGAGAUACGGCCCAGACUCCUACGGGAGGCAGCAGUGGGGAAUAUUGCACAAUGGGCGCAAGCCUGAUGCAGCGACGCCGCGUGGGGA